rnacentral:tRNA from 14 species
CGCGCCCCUGAUAAUUGCGUCGUUGUGCCUGGGCUGUGAGGGCAGGAUGGCCCAGCUGCGCCAGGGAUAAAGAAUAG